UCAAUAAAAGAGGAAGAGACUGAAGUUCCGAUUUCCACCAGAGAGAGACAUGACUAUCCUGGAUCCUCUGGGGAGCCUCAACAACAUUCUGAUGCUGACGAGGCAGAGAAGAGUCUCUCCAGAUCAAAACACCAGAUGGACAACGCUAGCCCUUCCUCCCUCCCAGAGUCCCCGUGUCGUGCCUCUCCUGGUAGCACGUUACUGCUGGGUAUGAAGAGGUUGUCUGUGCUGCUGGUGGACUGCAGGAAAACAACAGGGCUGAGUGGAACUGUG